rnacentral:rRNA from 1 species
AUGUACAUUCCUACAAUGUAAAUGUGACAGAUCACAUUAGAAAUCUAUAGUUAAGAAUGCUUGGGAUAGAGUAGUUCUGAUACGGGUGACCUAUUAGGAACUCCUAGUGUUUUACAUG